rnacentral:rRNA from 1 species
UUUUGGACAAUGGGCGCAAGCCUGAUCCAGCAAUGCCGCGUGAGUGAAGAAGGCCUUCGGGUUGUAAAGCUCUUUUGUCAGGGAAGAAACGGUGAGCUCUAAUACAGUUUGCUAAUGACGGUACCUGAAGAAUAAGCACCGGCUAACUACGUGCCAGCAGCCGCGGUAAUACGUAGGGUGCAAGCGUUAAUCGGAAUUACUGGGCGUAAAGCGUGCGCAGGCGGUUAUGUAAGUCAGAUGUGAAAUCCCCGGGCUCAACCUGGGAAUGGCAUUUGAGACUGCAUGGCUAGAGUGUGUCAGAGGGGGGUAGAAUUCCACGUGUAGCAGUGAAAUGCGUAGAGAUGUGGAGGAAUACCGAUGGCGAAGGCAGCCCCCUGGGAUAACACUGACGCUCAUGCACGAAAGCGUGGGGAGCAAACAGG